rnacentral:snoRNA from 1 species
CUUGUCCCUAGAGGAGUUGCAGGUGUGGCUGCUGUGUCACAUGGGUGUCAGUAGGUGGCAGAGAGGAGAGAGGUUAUGUCUAUGCUCAGUGUUCUGAUGUGUGAAUCUCUGAAUGAAAGGUAGCUUAACAGA